UGGGGAAUAUUGGACAAUGGGGGCAACCCUGAUCCAGCCAUGCCGCGUGUGUGAAGAAGGCUCUCGGGUUGUAAAGCACUUUCAGCGGGGAGGAAAAGCAGUACGUUAAUAGCGUAUUGUGUUGACGUUACCUGCAGAAGAAGCACCGGCAAACUCCGUGCCAGCAGCCGCGGUAAUACGGAGGGUGCGAGCGUUAAUCGGAAUUACUGGGCGUAAAGCGCGCGUAGGCGGUCUGGCAAGCCGGAUGUGAAAUCCCCGGGCUCAACCCGGGACCUGCAUCCGGAACUGCCAGGCUAGAGUACGGUAGAGGUGAGUGGAAUUUCCCGUGUAGCGGUGAAAUGCGUAGAUAUGGGAAGGAACAUCAGUGGCGAAGGCGGCUCACUGGACUGAUACUGACGCUGAGGUGCGAAAGCGUGGGGAGCAAACAGGAUUAGAUACCCCCGUAGUCC
rnacentral:rRNA from 1 species